GUUCAUUAUCUUAAGCGAGUCAUCUCCUAGCAAUCGAAGCCUGCAUACAAGAUUUAACAAAAAAAAAGGAAAUCAUUAACAUGGAACCUUGUAAAACGAAUAACAACAUCAAAGACCUUCUAAAAUAUCUUCUGGAGGGAAGUCUCCUACUUCAACUUCAGAAGAUCGAAGAAAGGAUCCAUGUUUAUUUUUCGCAUUAAAGUAUCUCUUUCCGCUGACUGUCCCAUCAUUUUUCCCAACUGGUUCAUCAAAUUCGACGCCAACCCACAGAUUGUCAUUAUUAAUUUCAGGCACUAGUCCAAUAUAGCGAAUAGUUCCAUAUCUCUCUCCUGCUGCACAGCACCUAGAAUUUAAAUUUUUUUGUAAGUCGACUAAUUCA